rnacentral:misc_RNA from 1 species
AAGUCGUAACAAGGUUUCCGUAGGUGAACCUGCGGAAGGAUCAUUACCAAGCGUGACACGUUGUGUCGCCUACAACCUCGAGCAGACCGGGCGCGGCUCCGCGCCGGGUCAGGACGGUGGUCCAUGGACUGCCGUCAGCGCCGUCCCCUGCUCUUCGGAGCAGAAGCUCAGUCCAGCCGGACGAAAGGACGGACCGGUGCUUUCGCAUCACCCUGUGCUUGAAAAGGAACCACAACAGCAGUACAACUGCAAACGGUGGAUCACUCGGCUC